UGGGGAAUUUUGGACAAUGGGCGAAAGCCUGAUCCAGCAAUGCCGCGUGUGUGAAGAAGGCCUUCGGGUUGUAAAGCACUUUUGUCCGGAAAGAAAUCCUUGGCUCUAAUACAGUCGGGGGAUGACGGUACCGGAAGAAUAAGCACCGGCUAACUACGUGCCAGCAGCCGCGGUAAUACGUAGGGUGCAAGCGUUAAUCGGAAUUACUGGGCGUAAAGCGUGCGCAGGCGGUUUGCUAAGACCGAUGUGAAAUCCCCGGGCUCAACCUGGGAACUGCAUUGGUGACUGGCAGGCUAGAGUAUGGCAGAGGGGGGUAGAAUUCCACGUGUAGCAGUGAAAUGCGUAGAGAUGUGGAGGAAUACCGAUGGCGAAGGCGGCCCCCUGGGCCAAUACUGACGCUCAUGCACGAAAGCGUGGGGAGCAAACAGGAUUAGAUACCCUGGUAGUCCACGCCCAUAAACGAUGUCAACUAGUUGUUGGGGAUUCAUUUCCUUAGUAACGUAGCUAACGCGUGAAGUUGACCGCCU
rnacentral:rRNA from 1 species